UGAUGUUCUUCAUGGAGGCGUCGUGGAUUCGGCGUGAUUGACGGCGGUUCGUGGAUUCAGAUCGUGGGCUUGCGGAUUCGAGUGGCGUUCGUGGAUUCGGACGUGUGCGAGGCGUUCGUGGAUUCGAAUGUGAUGGCGUGGACAACCCGGAGGAUUGCGCGAGAUUCAUAGGAGGUUAAGAGAGGUUGAGUCCGUGGAGUCGGUAAUCACCUUGUAAUCUUUUCUCUUAGUGAAUUAUUUUUUCGCGUGUUGGUCCCGUGGGUUUUUUUCCAAGUUGGAGUUUUCCACGUAAAUCUCGGUGUGAUUUUUAUUUUCCGCAUUUAUUUUUAUCGCAUUGAGAUUUGUGGUUUUUGGCUACUACACCUAUUCACCCCCCUCUAGGUGUUAGAUACAAUCUAGAUAGAUUCUUGGGCCCCUCAAAAUUUUCAAUUGGUAUCAGAGCAAGAUCUAGAUAAAUUGUUUAUCUAAUGGCAAAAGGCGGAAACAUUAAUCGACCACCGCUCUUUGAUGGCACAAACUAUGCCUAUUGGAAAGUUCGCAUGAGAGCUUUUCUAAUUGCAAUCGAUGAGCGCGUUUGGCAAUCAAUCGAAUUUGGAUGGAAACAUCCUAUUGAAAAGGUCGAGAAUGUUGAAACGCCAAAACAACGGAACAAGUGGACGAAAGAUGAAAACGAGGCAUCUUCGUUUAACGGUAAGGGUAUAAACGCUUUAUUUAAUGCAUUGUCUCAAACGGAGUUUACUCGUGUUUCGGCGUGUGAAACCGCCAAGGAGAUUUGGGAUACUCUACAAGUUACGCAUGAAGGAACGAGCUUAGUAAAGGUCCAAAAAUUGCAAAUGCUAACAAGCAAGUUUGAUUCUAUUUGUAUGGAUGAAAAUGAGACCUUUACCGAGUAUUAUACGCGUUCACAAGACGUUGUCAAUACAUGCGCUAACUUGGGAGAGAAAAUCCCGGAUUCAAAAGUUGUUAGAAAGAUUAUUCGAACUCUUACGGAACGCUUUCGGGCAAAAGUUGCCGCGAUCGAAACCGUUAAGCAUCUGGACGAGAUGAAAGUCGAAGAGUUAGUAGGCGCUUUACAAAUGUAUGAGAUGACUUUUCCUACUAAUCAAUCUUCUUCCAAGUCUUUCUCUAAAAGCACAGGGGUUGCAUUAAAGUCGACGAAGGAGGAAGAUGAGGAUUCAAAUUUCGAUGAAGAUGUAUCUCUUGCUGAUUUCGAACAUCAACUUGCAGUAUUAACGAAGAAGCUCAAUGAAGCGGAAUCGACGGUCAAAUCAUCUAAAGACAAGAUUGGAUUUUUGGAGCAUCAAUUUGCGGAAACCUACAAAUCCAAUCAAUCCUUGACCAACCAAGUUUGACAACUCCAAUCCGACAUACAAAAGUUCUCAUCGGGAUCAAAGAAAUUUGACCAUAUGUUCGGGUUGGGUCAAACGGAUAAGUUAGGUCUCGGAUAUGAAAGAGUUUUUGUUGAGAAGGAUUCUAAAUCAACUUCGAAAGCCUCAACAACUUUGAAAGACAAGGCAUGUCAUCGAUGUGGCGUCAAAGGACACAUAAAAAAGAAUUGCCCUAACAAAGAAAAGAUGAAUCGAUCGGCAAGGUCUUCACAUCGAUCGACAACAUCUAAACCUCAAGCAAACCGGUUUUCUUAUGUGCAACAUCAAAUCCGACCGAACCCAAAAGCUAAUCGGAUUUCUAAACCUCAACGACAAAUUCAACCAAAGCCUCAAGCAAAGAAACCACCAACGGUUGAUAAAAAAUCUAAGCAAACGGCACCAAACGUAAACUAGCUGAGAGGACCAAAGAUCCGACAAGUUUGGAUCCGAAAAGGUGAUAUCUUUCCUUACUUCUCGUCUUAGUUGUUUUUGAUUUCUUGAGUAGUGCUUUGAUAGGUGCUUAUUGCAUAUUUUUAUUUAUUGCAUUACAUGUUUAAAUGAUCUUUGGUGCUUUGAAUUUUGUUUGUUUAAAAAUCAUUUUGAGGAAAGGUGUUUAAGAAUUCAAAAUUUUUUUUUUUCUGAGAAAGGAGAUGCUUGAGAAUUAUUAUUUUGAGGAGAGCAAUUUUUUCGAAGUCGCUUAAACGGUAUUUAACUUCACAAUCAUAUUAAGCUAAAUUCAUAUUAAUUAUCGUUUUUACUCCACCUUUUUAUAAUUUAAUAUAUGAUUUCUUAAUUCAUAUAUUCAUCAAAAUUUUGAAAUCAAAUUUGAUCUCUUGGUGAUUAAUCUAUGUCGGUUGUGUGUGUUGAAUAUGAUAGAUGGAUAUUCGCUAAUAGACUAAAAUUUGUCAAAAUAUUUUCAAUUGUGAGAUUGUCUAAUUUAGGGAGAGUUUGAAAUUAAAAAAAAAGAAAAACUCCUAUGUUUAAAAAGAUGUGGAAAGAGUUACAUCCAAAAGGGGUGUGAAAACUACGACCACAUGUAGGAAAGAGCUACCACCCCGGUCGUCCGGCAAGUGUGUGAAGCUACCACAUGAAGAUUGAGUUGAAUAACCGAAAAGGUUGAGAAAAAUUUGGAUAUUUUAAAAUUUUCGGAGUUGUAAGGUGAUAGUUUGAAAAAGAUGCUCAAAGAGCCAACCCCGGUAUAAUAUUAGUUAAAUCUCUAUUUUGAAUGUAUUGUGACAAAUUGGUGUCAAUUUUGCCGAAUUUCUAAAAAUCAUUUUUCGUGAACCGUUACAUCUUAAUGAUUUUGAAACUUGAGAUCGUUUUUGAUAAUAAAAUUUUGAUGUUUCGAUGUAUUUUGAAAUCUUAUAAUAUUUUAUUCUCAUUAUAGUGAUUUUUGGAGUAAAAUCCUUAAUUUAUAUAAAAUUAAUUUAAUUUGAUGGUUUUUUAAAGUAAAUUUUUCGAAAUCUGGGGAUGUGUGCCGGUACACAAUCCCGUGUACCGGUACGGUUACUGUAGCCGCGGAAAUAUAACCGGAUACAGGGCUUUUAUUCUCUCUCAAAUUCGAACCAAACUUCGUUCUCUCUUUCUCUAAAAAUCCCUGGUGCCUUCCUCUUCCAGAUCUACAUGAUUUCCCUCAGAAAUUUGUGAGUAUUUAGCUUGGAUUUAAUCGUUUUAUCGCAUUCAUGCCUAUUUUUCGAAAAUAUUCCGAGUUGAAGCUAGAUCUCUAUUUUGAUUCGUUUUUGAUACAAUUUUUUGUUGUAGAUCAGUGCUUAAUGACAUUAUCUUGCUUCUAGAACACUUGAAUCACAUCAAAACACAUUAUUUUUUGCUGAUCUAUUUUCUAAGCUUCAUUUUGCAUGUAAUUUCGGGAUUUUUCAUAAAAUGUGAUUUUUGAUGAAAUGUUUUUGCAUGAUCUGGUUAGAAAUAGCAUUUGAAUGCAUUCUAAUGUUAUUAGAAAAUUUUUCGCUAUUUUUACAGAUUUUUUCAAGAUUUUGUUCAUGCAAGGUUAAUUUUUGUAUAGGAAAAAUGGUGUUUUCACUUGUGUUGCUGAUUUUGAUGCUGAUGGCUGCGAGACGUGGCCGAGGUGGUGGUAGAGGUCGUCGUGGGGCCUCUAAGAGGACACGUACAACUGAAGAAGCAUCCGGAUCUGAUCCGGAUUAUUAGGCGAGCUCCCCGGAAGAGACUGAAGAACCUAUUGCUCGUCCUGGCAAGGGCAAAGGAAUAGCUGGAGAAUCCUCACGUGGCGGUGGUUCUCGUGCAAGAGAAACUCGGUCGAAGCAUGCUGCGGAUGUUCCCCCAGAGCGACGGAAGAUGUUCAUGAGCAAGUCUUGUAUUGGAGAGCGUUAUGUCAACUUCAAUGAUCUUAUACAUGACGUUCCUGAUUUUGGGCGACUACUUCAGCAGGUUCCUAUUGAGCCAGUUGGUAGGGUUCCUGCUCGGGCUCCUUUUUGUGUGGAACUCAUUCGUGAGUUCUAUAUGAACGGGAAGGUACUUGCAGAAGAUGAGGAGACCGGGGCUUUUCUUUUUGAGACAGUCGUGCGUCAGCAGAGGGUCGUCGUUACCCCAUAUACAAUUGGAGAGCUUUUGGGGAUGAAUGUGGACACUACAGGUCUUCUUUAUACUUCAGGUGGAUUUCAAUUUUCAUCUCACUGGGAUACAGUUGUAGCAGCUAUCUGCAAAGCUGGAGUGCAAACGAAUCGUGCUUAUGUAGAGUCCAAGGAUUUGCGACCAAAGUAUCAUCUACUGUCCUUGGUCUUGAGCUACAAUGUGCAACCAACGAUUGGAACAAAAAGGAUUCGUUGGGAUCGUUUGCUUCUACUGUUUCUACUUGGUCACCCGGAGCAAGCAUUUGGUUUGAACGUCAACAUUCCCUUUCUGAUGUGGCAGCGGAUGAUUCAUGUUAUUCAGGCUUCUGCUCGACGGGAUUUACUUCCAUUUCCUCUGUUGAUCACGAGGAUUCUGCAGGACAAUGGAGUGGAUGUUUCUUAUGAAAAGUAUGAUUUUGGUCUUGGUCCAAUCGAUGCUGUUACCUGGGCCAAGUCAGUCAGCACUCUAAAGACUUUUCAGCAAACAAAAGGGCUAUCUCGAGCAGCUCCUAGCCAGGCACCUCUACCACGCGCAGAGCGUGAAGGAUCUUCCAGUUCAGGGGGAGAAUCACUUCGCCAUGAAGUGCGAUCUUUAAAGAAGAAAGUGGCUGAUCUUGCUAGAAAGGUGGAAGUGGGUAUGAAGAGGAUGAUGGACAAGUUGGGCUGUAGACAUGACGAUAUCUUUCCUCCUCAGCCUGUCUAUACUAGGUCUACUUCACGACAUCCUCUUAUUCCUCCAUCUACUGGAGCUUCAGAUGCGGGAGGUUCUGGAGCUGGCGCUGGAGCUGAUGAUGAUGAUGACGAGGACACGGAGUGAUUUCUUCGUCAAGCUUAGUCUUUCUAUUUUGCUGUAUUUGCUGUUUAGGAUGAUGUUUUCGUUUAGUUUUUCUUGCUUAUCUUUCUUUUGCAUGUUUUUACUUUUGUUUUAGGCCUGUACCUAUGACUUGACUACUUUUAUACUUUCUAGUAUGUUUUCGCUCUUUAUUUGCUUUCUUUUGGCAAUUUUUGAUAAAAAGGGGGAGAGCGUAGAUGAACAGGGGGAGAGCAUGGAUGAACAGGCAUUAAACUAAGCAGAGGAUGAUGAGUUGUGAACAAAGGGGGAGAUGUGAUCGAGAUGUGAACAAAGGGGGAGAAGGUAUAAGAAUUUAAGGUUAAUUAUUUUUGAAUGAAUUAUUUUGCAGGAAAUCAAGACUUCAAGACUCCUAGUUGCGUCUAAGUCAUAGAGUCUGUUUUAGGAGUUUUUGAUGUAAUUUUGAAUUUCUGAAUCUCAAAUUGUAUUUGGAUUAUACGCGAGGAGUUCAAUGUUUUGGUGAUGACAAUUGAACUUCGAUUCUUUUAUGUAUUUUUGAGUUUUGUGAGUUUUGCCACGAAAUUGCCAAAGGGGGAGAUUGUUAAGGAUUUUGUAUUUGUAAGUUCGUGAAGUGAGUCGGAGUCUUGAAGGAUCGAAGCGGAUUGACAAAGAUCGAAGAAUCCAAGACUUCGAAGAAAUCAGAAAAUACCUCACGACGUGAAUCACGAUGCUCAGGUAAAGUUUUAAUUCAUGUUAUGGUGAUUCAUACUUAGUUAUAGGCAUUAGAAUCAUAAACUCAAAGUUUAAUGGAUUAGAAAGUGCCUCGGAACGUUGUGAAACCCGAAACAGUGCAAUGUGUGAAAAAAAUGCACUGUGUACCGGUACAGCAAUUGACCAGUACCAGUACAGCCAUCAACUUUGGCAACGCAGAUUUUUGUUCCGUCAUCGUGUAACCGGUGACAGCCUUUCGUGUACCGGUACACUGUGUAAAAUUGUGAAAACUUUCUAAUCCGACUUCGUUUGAUUCUAAAGUCUAUAAAUAAGCUAUUGGGAUUCUCUAACAUAUCAAGCAUCACGAAAAUAUAUGUUUGAGAAACCCUAGAGGCUCGGAUUUAAUCUAAACCAUAUUUUCUACAUAAAGCCUCUUUUAGGUCAAAUCGAGAUUUUAGAUUUUGACAUCAAUAUGUCGAUUUGAUCUCCGCUUCGCUUGGAGUUCGCUUCCCUGGUUUUUAUCGAUACUCUAAGCGAAGGAUCACCAUACACAUGAUGUUCUUUAUGGAGGCGUUGUGGAUUCGGCGUGAUUGACGACGGUUCGUGGAUUCGGAUCGUGGGCUUGUGGAUUCGAGUGGCGUUCAUGGAUUCGGACGUGUGCGAGGCAUUCGUGGAUUCGAACGUGAGGGCGUGGACAACCCGGAGGAUUGCACGAGAUUCAUAGGAGGUUAAGAGAGGUUGAGUCCGUGGAGUCGGUAAUCAUCUUGUAAUCUUUUCUCUCAGUGAAUUAUUUUUUCGCGUGUUGGUCCCGUGGAUUUUUCUCCAAGUUGGAGUUUUCCCACGUAAAUCUCGGUGUGAUUUUUAUUUUCCGUAUUUAUUUUUAUCGCAUUGAGAUUUGUGGUUUUUGGCUAUUACACCUAUUCACCUCCCUCUAGGUGUUAGAUACAAUCUAGAUAGAUCCUUGGACUCC
rnacentral:lncRNA from 1 species